rnacentral:misc_RNA from 1 species
UUUCCGUAGGUGAACCUGCGGAAGGAUCAUUAUUGAAUGAACUUGGUAGUGGUUGUAGCUGGCUCUCUCGAGAGCAUGUGCACACCCGCCAUCUUUAUCUUUCCACCUGUGCACUUCUUGUAGACUUUGGGAUUUGAAAACUUAUCCGGGGCAACUCGGUCGGGAGGAGCUGCUGUAGCAAUAUGGCUCUCCUUGACAAGUCUUCAAAGUCUAUGUUUUUCAUAUACCCCAUAGUAUGUAACAGAAUGUAUACAAAUGAGCCUUAGUGCUUAUAAAACUUAUACAACUUUCAACAACGGAUCUCUUGGCUCUC